rnacentral:lncRNA from 1 species
GUCUCGGCCAGAGGGUGGAGUCCGAGGGUGUGGGUUCACCCUGGUAACAGCACAAGUGGGGGGGUUGAAGGGUGGUGAAGCAAGGAACAAUGGAGAGGUGGAGGAGCAGCCAGCUCCGGCAGCCGGCGGCGUGCUCUGGUGGCCGGAGCGCGCGCGGGGAGAGCAGGGGAACGUGAGGGAGGCGGUUAAGGAAGAGGAGGGGACCCAGGGUUAGGGUUUCAUGGUGACCUAACUCUAUGAUAUAUGUACAAUUACAGAAAAACCCACCUCAGCCCUAUUUUUAUAAUUUAGUCCCUGCCAUUGCGCGUAACUUGCGCAUACGCACCACCACGCUCGAUCUCAAGCAAUUCGGUACAUAAAAUACAAUGACUUUUGCGAAGUUUCCGAUUUGCCACCUUCGACCCCUCAGUGAACAUUUCGCGUUUCCCGAAAAUCCGUCAGUUGGAUUUUCGAUCCGACAGUGCCAUCGCGUUCAGCACGACGGGGGCAUCAAAACUACGAUUUCGUUUCAUCCGAUUUGCUUGCCGAUUUGCGACAAAAUCUGACCUCUCUCCAACUAACCUAUAUAUCAUACAUAGGCCUUGGUGGAAACUCGAAAUCCUUUAAUUCAAACUCGUAUUUGAAUUCCCUGCCACCAGUAGGUACUUGAAACAUCUCUCACCCAUCUCCAGAUCACUUGUACAAAGCACGAGGAGUUUUAAAAUGCACGAAUAGCAAAGAGCGGAAACCCUCUUUUUGUUAAAACUCCUUUUUCUCAAAAAUCGUGCAUCAGAUCCAAAAUCCGUCAGUGCCAUUGGUUCCAGAAUAGUCGAGCCGAUCAAAACGAGCUAUUGGAUCGCUAUGAAUGGUGUCCGAUACGCGCCGAAAACCAACUCUACUCCGUGGCUUCUCCGGAAAACCGGAGUUACUAUUCACUUAAGUGAAAACUAAUAAUCGCGUAACUUCUCUGUUUUAGCUCAUUUUCUCCUGAAACUUGACGAGUGCUUAUGUAAUUAAAUUACACAUAUAAACAUCAUCAACAGAGAGUUUAAUAGCACUGUAAAAAUCUCAGUCCUUACACUAUCCAUAACUAUAAAUUAUACUAAACCUAAAACUGCAUUCACAAAAUAUAGGAAAGUACUU